rnacentral:lncRNA from 1 species
GUCCAAGUGUCCUUAUGUCACUGGAAACCAGAAUUUUGGAGGAACAUGCAGGAAUCUAGUUUCCAUUAAUCUGUGAGACAUUUGAGCAGGGACCAUUUUAAACAUCAGAGAAUGUGAAGUUCGGGAAUGAAAUCCACCUGACUAAACGAAACCCAGCACAACAAAUGCAGCCACUGGAAGGGAAAGCACAUUGAUAUUGAGCAUACUACCCAGACAGUUUGAUUUUGCAGAAGAACCAAUGAGAGCCCAUUUCACAAUCUUGAAGAAUAUGAGCAAUUUGAAUAUCAGUGGGAAUUGAUUGCAGGGAAUUUUGGCAUCCCUGUAUAAGAGUCAUCUGAGGAUUUACUGUAUUAUACAGGACAG